CGGGUGAGUAACACGUAUGCAAUCCACCUGUAACAGGGGGAUAACCCGGAGAAAUCUGGACUAAUACCCCAUAAUAUGGGCGCUCCGCAUGGAGAGUCCAUUAAAGAGAGCAAUCUUGGUUACAGACGAGCAUGCGCUCCAUUAGCCAGUUGGCGGGGUAACGGCCCACCAAGGCGACGAUGGAUAGGGGUUCUGAGAGGAAGGUCCCCCACAUUGGAACUGAGACACGGUCCAA
rnacentral:rRNA from 1 species